rnacentral:tRNA from 14 species
UAGGGAUGACAGGAUUUGAACCUGCGACAUUUUGUACCCAAAACAAACGCGCUA